AUGCUAUUUUACAAAUUCGUCACCAAACAUAGAGAAUCUCAAGAUGCACCGGAGGCAUUGACUUCGAAGGACCAUGAUGUAACUUUUGGUUUUAUCAGGCAUUUUUUUAUUUAUGUUCACUCCGGUUCUGUCAAUCUAUCGUACUUUUUUCAUGAAUCAAUAAACCUGAAUCGUUGUUCUAGAAAACACCAACCAGUUUCACCAAAAAUAUACACCUCUAUACAAAACACUUCACAAGAAAAUUUAAUCACUAUUGAAUAAAAAUAUUUACAGAUACUUAGAAAAUCCUGCUUAGAAAUCGAACUGAAAACCAAAUAAGACAGAAAAAGGAAAAUAAAAAUAAAAAAUAGGAAAUGAAAAAAACCCUGCAUUAUUGGGCUGGUUUCAAUUGACGUUCCAUGUACGGCUUGUGUGAUACCCUGUGCAUUUAGAUUUGACUCCUGCAGGACCUUGACCUCAUAUGUGUGUGCACAGGAGUGGGGGAAUAAUUCCACAUUGCUUCCUUUUCACGGAAUAAUUCCACGAUGGAAGUUUAGCUUGAGGAGACUCGAUAACUGACAUAUAAGGGCCUCCUUGACAGGAUGAAAAGAACAUAAGUAGAAAGAGAAAAAAAAACAUGGAUAUGAUGUCAAGAAAUGUUAAACCAUGCAAGAUAGACGUUGUUUGGUUGCACGACAAGGAAAACACAAGAUUUCUAGUUAAGCCCGUUUGUCAACCAUCGCUUCAUUUGGUAGAAAUGAAAUGAAAUCUAAUUUUUGAUAGGAUUCAUUUGGUUGAAUUUGAAUUCCUUUUUGAAAAAUCAUGUUUGUCUACGACCUAAAUUUGUAAAAUGAG
rnacentral:lncRNA from 1 species